GAACGUCGUGAGACAGUUCGGUCUCUAUCUGGUGUGGGCGCUCGAUAUUUGAAGGGGAUAUCUUCUCAGUACGAGAGGACCGGAAGAUACAGACCUCUGGUGUUCCAGUUAUCCUGCCAAGGGUAAUGGCUGGGUAGCCACGUCUGGAAAGGAUAAGCACUGAAAGCAUCUAAGUGCGAAGCCCACCUCAAGAUUAGAUAUCGUUCCACUUCGGUGGUGAAGGCUCCUCGUAGACGACGAGGUUGAUAGGUUGCAUGUGUAAGACCAGUAAUGGUUUUAGCUAAGCAAUACUAAUAAGCCGAAUACUUGAUCUU
rnacentral:rRNA from 1 species